GAACCAGACGAAUCUGCAAACUCAUGUUUUAUCUGCAGAUGCACUUUGUCCUCUCAUCCAUUCAGACAGAUUUCUAUCUGUCCUGGUUUGUGACGGACCAAAAUCACAACUGUUUAUCUUAUACGGGCUGGGUUUGAUACAAAACCACAAAGAUGGCCGCAAGAGCGAGGUUGGUGUUUUGGAGAGUUUUAUUUUGUUAUGUCGAGUUUGACUGAGGUGGAUUUUCACGAUGAUCUACAAAUUAAAAUGGCUGUUUUUGUCUUUGAGGAGUGAUUUGCGUUCUAAGAUGUAAGUUUGUUCACAGUCAUAUUGAUGACGCAUCAUUCCAGUUCAUCUCUGAACCCUGAACUCUGUCUAUUCUUUUGCAGUUCUGCUUUGAUUGCUUAGUGAGUACUUUUUGGAUGCUUCAUAUGAAGUUGGUUAUGAGUGCAGUCAGACAAACAGCUCCAACUCAAUGGCAACUUAUUUCAAAGUUUAAAAUACUGAUUGUGUUUGUGUGACGUGUUUUCUGGAGGAUCACAUUGUCCUCUCCCUCCCUCUCUGGCAGGGCUUUUUAAAAGAUGAAGUGUAUUCAGAGCGAUUCUGUGACAUGCAUCAUCUCAUCAUAUAACAGUCUUCAAAACGGUCCCCAACAAUCACCCUUGGGUCUUUAUUCUGAUGACCAAAGUACGGUUAAAAAACGAAAAGGACAGAGUGGCCUGUGGAGCUGCAUGAUGUCUGAACGCCAGGGGAGAGUCGGCAGGAAAUGGCAGCUCAUUUGUCCUUUUCACUAUUUCUUUACAAGGACACUCACCCUGUAAUAAUCACAAAUAACUCUCCUCUAACAGGAGAAAUCACUGAUUAUAGGUCUGGAAACCACUUUCACCGACCUCCUGGCGCAGAGCUAAUCUCACGCUGCCACAGCUGCUUUUUGACUUUACACCGGGGACUCUGAAUGUGUUUAAGGAUAAAUGAGUUUGCACUGACCUCUGGGUAGUUUCUGUGCAUUUUCUGUUGUUUCUCUACUUCCUGUGAUACGUCUCUUAGUCAUCUAGAGGACCACAGCACUUCUGCAAGACUUUAAUUCCAAGAUUUCUCUUCUGUGUUUGUUUGCUUGUUGAUGAACUGGUCUUCUGACUGAAACCUUUAUUUUAACAUCCCUGAACAUUUUAAAGAGACUCGGAUCUUUGAAGCCUUGCAGCCUUGGAUGUUUGAGUGCUGGAGGUUUUGUGUUUUUGACUUCAGCACAGCUCUCAGCAGAGUGAAAUGAUUUUUUAGAUCCCUUCCUCAGUGCAGUGAGGUACCAAAUGCUGCAGUGUCUGAGAGAUGCAGUCAAGGUUUAGGCAAUGGAAACAGUGUAUAGUAGUCUAAGUAUCCAGGGCAACGGAUAAUUUACAGCAGUGAGAACUUCAGGACAGCCCUGCUCACAUUUCAAACUGUAGAAUUUGCUGAAAAACAGCAGAUCAAAGCGUCUGUAUGACUGCUGCUGCGUGUUUCUGCUUGUUUGUUGUUUAACUCCUCAAAGUUACUGAACUUCAAACGGAAACAAGUGCUGCACUACAAAUAUUAACACAUGAUCUCACAUAUAGGGAAGUAUAACUGCAGAGGGUUAGAAUAAUAAAUGCCGUCUAUAACUAA